AAGUCGUAACAAGGUUUCCGUAGGUGAACCUGCGGAAGGAUCAUUAACGUAUCUCUGACGGCGAGGGUGUGCCCUGCUCCGGACCGAAAGGAACGUGCAGCGGGCAAGCCCGAGUCGCUCAACCUUUGCAAACCCCACUGUGCACUUUUGUCGGCGAAAGGUCCGCGUGGCCUUAGCCGGAUCCACAAACUCCAAGUUUGACGUGAAUGUGUAGCGGACCCAUGUGCCGCCUAAACUUUAACAACUUUCAACAACGGAUCUCUUGGCUCUC
rnacentral:misc_RNA from 1 species